rnacentral:tRNA from 1 species
AAGGAAGUCAUACUGGGUAUGAGGUUGGCUUGAAACCGAUUUUAGGGCCUUCAAUUCCCUCCUUUCUUG